rnacentral:rRNA from 1 species
AAAGGGUGCGUAGGCGGAUUCUUAAGUCAGGGGUGAAAUCCCGAGGCUCAACCUCGGAACUGCCUUUGAUACUGGGGAUCUUGAGUCCGGAAGAGGUGAGUGGAACUGCGAGUGUAGAGGUGAAAUUCGUAGAUAUUCGCAAGAACACCGGUGGCGAAGGCGGCUCACUGGUCCGGAACUGACGCUGAGGCACGACAGCGUGGGGAGCAAACAGGAUUAGAUACCCUGGU